rnacentral:rRNA from 1 species
UAUGUGAUCGUCUCUCGCAUAUCAAUAAGCGGAGGAAAAGAAACUAACUAAGGAUUCCCCUAGUAACGGCGAGUGAAGCGGGAAGAGCUCAAAUUUGAAAUCUUAAAGGGUUUCCCUUUACGAAUUGUAGUUUAAAGAAGUGUUUUCUGUUGAGGUUUUGGUAAAAGUUCUUUGGAAUAGGACAUCAUAGAGGGUGAGAAUCCCGUAUUUGACCUUUACUUUCAACUUUGUGAUACACUUUCAAAGAGUCGGAUUGUUUGGGAAUGCAGUCCAAAAUGGGUGGUAAAUUUCAUCUAAAGCUAAAUAUUGGCGAGAGACCGAUAGCGAACAAGUACCGUGAGGGAAAGAUGAAAAGAACUUUGAAAAGAGAGUUAAACAGUACGUGAAAUUGUCAAAAGGGAAGCGUUUGACACCAGUGUUGUUUUUCUGAAAAUCAAUUAAAGAACUGUUUAUGCUAAGUUGUUUAGACCUUAUCAGCUAACUGUUUAGUUUUGAGCUUUUCUUUAAUGCACUUUUCAGUUAACAAGUCAACAUCAAUUUCUUUUGCUGUAAAAAAGCUUGAGGAAGGUGGCUUGAGAUUCGUCUUAAGUGUUUAUAGCCUCUUGCCUAUGCAGUCGGAGAGAUUGAGGUCUGCAGCGUAGAUCCUUCGGGGCUAAAUGCAUCUGUGCUAAGUUAUAGCAUUUUAUAGACAACUUGUUGACUAUGAUUUGUCUUGUAGCUUACUCGCUUAUGUUAUUUUACCUACGCUUAGGAUGUUGAGCGCAUGUCUCUCUCU